AGAAGUCUACUGAGACUGGCUUCUUUUCACCAACAAAAAGACAAAGCCCUUCAAGGAGAAGUCUUUAGGCCUAAUUGCCUCAUUUUUGCCUGGAACAUGGAUGUGAUUUCUGGAGGCGCACCAGCCACUGCAGGGCCCUGUUCAUAAAGUUAUGGAUGCUCACAUGUGCAAAGUUAAAGGGCCACAUCUGGUGAGGGCUUUCUUGCUGGUGAGGAUUCUCUGAAGAGUAUUGAGGCAGCAGAGGACAUCACAUGAAGCAGUGGCACAUAAGGGAAGUUUCCUUCUCUUUGGGGAAUCAUAAAUAAAAUAGUGGUGUAAUCAAGGACAGAAGAAAAAAGAGACUUCAGACAGAUUUCUUCCGAGUCACCGGUGGGAGCUUCCCAGGGAGAUGCGGCUUUAUUCCCUCAUGGCAGACAGGAGGAGGAUGCUGAGCGGGAGCUGAUGCCACCUGGCAGCAAUGGUGGCACAGACUGCUGGAGAGGCACAGAUUGGAACCCAAGCCUCAUCAGACGGCAGCUGUGACAGCGGCAUAUUUCAAAAAUGUAUUGCAAAUUUCACACAAGGGGUCUUUAAAAAAAUUUGAAAGUCUCCUUGGCUUUCACAGACUUUUAAUUAAGAGAGAACUCCUCUUCUUUGAAAAUCAAAACACUUUUUGCCUAUUUUAUGUAUCUAAAGGUAGAUGGGAACUUACAGCCACAUUUAAAAAAUUUGCAGUUGAUUAUGUGGUUUUCAAAUUUAAUAACCUACUAUGAAUAAUUAACUCAACAAGAAGAAAAGGGCACAUUGGCACCUCACAAUUAAAAGAGUAAGAGUGAAAUUAU
rnacentral:lncRNA from 10 species